UGUUGCGCAAGAAGGUCAAUUCUAUGCUUAUAACAUUUGGCUGGUUUAGAGGCAAAAAAACUCCCUGCACCCAUUUUAAACCUUUAUC